AUGCGAGCAUAUCAAUACCCUAAUCCAAAAGUUUUGGUGGGUAAUAAGGAGGGUAAGAGGAAACCUAGAUGUGUCUCGUGGAGCACUUUAACGAAACCUAAGUUUUGUGGGGGAUUAGGAUUCCAAGAUACUGAACUCUUCAACCUAGCUCUCCUAGCUAGGCAAGCUUGGAGGAUCCUAACUCAGCCGGAGUUACUCGGUGCAUGGAUUCUCAAAGCAAAGUAUUUCAACUCGUCAGAUUUUUUGCAUGCGGAAAUUGGAACAGCCCCUUCUCAGAUUUGAAGGUCUAUACUAGAGGGUCGGAAUGUUCUUACAGGUAUGAUCCGUGAGACUGGCGAUGGUCAAUCAACACAUAUCUGGGAACACAAUUGGUUGCCAAGAGCAUCAAAUAUAAGGCCUAUUGUCAGCCAGGUACUCAAUCCAUUGGAACUUGUGGGUGAGCUGAUUUUACAGGGCGUUGAAUGGGACCGAGCCACAGUUGCAGAGGAUUUUUUUACAUACAGACACUCAGGCGAUUCUCUUCAUACCCCUCUGUACAAGACAUGUUGA
rnacentral:rRNA from 1 species